AUUGAACGCUGGCGGCAGGCUUAACACAUGCAAGUCGAGCGAGCGGCGGACGUGUGGGUACUGUCCGGGCAAAUGACUGAUGGAGGGGGAUACCUAAUGGAAACGGUAGCUAAUACCGCAUACAACCACAUGUGCCCAGAGGGGAUUAGCUAGUCGGUGGGGUAAUGGCUCACCUAGGCGACGCUCCCUAGCUGGUGUGAGAGGAUGACCAGCAACACUUGAAAUGAGCUACGGUCCAGACUCCUACGGGAGGCAGCAGUGGGGAAUGUUGCACAAUGGGCGCAACCCUGAUGCAGCCAUGCCGCGUGUGAGAUGAAGGCCUUCGGUUUGUAAAGCACUUUCAGCGAGGAGGCGUUACUCGCAGAAGAAGCACCGGCUAACUCCGUGCCAGCAGCCGCGGUAAUUC
rnacentral:rRNA from 1 species